GUGCCACAGCGCGGUAAUACGGAGGGUGCAAGCGUUGUCCGGAAUCCCUGGGCGUAAAGGGUGCGCAGGCGGGCAGCAAGUCGGAGGUGAAAGCCCAUGGCUCAACCAUGGAAGUGCCUUCGAAACUGUUGCUCUUGAGUCCCGGAGAGGCUGUCGGAAUUCGUGGUGUAGCGGUGAAAUGCGUAGAUAUCACGAGGAACACCAGAGGCGAAAGCGGGCAACUGGACGGGUACUGACACUGAGGCACGAAAGCGUGGGGAGCGAACAGGAUUAGAUACCCCAGUAGUCC
rnacentral:rRNA from 1 species